rnacentral:rRNA from 1 species
UACGGAGGAUGCAAGCGUUAUCCGGAUUUAUUGGGCGUAAAGCGUCCGCAGGUGGUUUUCCAAGUCUGCUGUUAAAGCGCGAGGCUUAACCUCGUACAGGCAGUGGAAACUGGAUGACUAGAGUAUGGUAGGGGUAGCGGGAAUUCCCAGUGUAGCGGUGAAAUGCGUAGAUAUCGGGAGGAACACCAAUGGCGAAGGCAGCUCGCUGGGACGGUACUGACGCUGAGGCGCGAAAGCGUGGGGAGCAAACAGG